rnacentral:lncRNA from 12 species
GGCCCCUCUGCUCUAGGUACGCACCAGCCCAUUGGCUUCUCAUUCUCUGUAGGGUUCUGUUGCCGUCGACAGAAAUCUCUGUUACCCGGGAGAGCCUCAUGCUACCUCCCGUCUGGCUGACGUCCUGCCCUCAGGCCCAGGUCACCAGUGGGCACCUCUGGGAAGUCUUCUCUGAGCUUCACCUCUUUCGUGGCCCAAUCUGGGUUAGGUGCUUCCACCGUCAUACCUGCCAGGCUUCUCUGUGUCAGGGCACAUGUCAUACCACUUUGAGAGAACGAACGUGCGUGGAACCUUCCUACUGUGGGACAUUGUGGCUCUCCACACGUGAAAGAGUGAAUUAAAAAAACAGCAGAUCUGUCAGUAGGACUUCAGAUUAAUCUCACGGAUCUCACUUUCUGGUAAUGUAAAAGGCACUUCCAACAUGGUAAGGUCUUAAACAUGUCACAUGAUACAUGAUUUAGAGUUGUAUUUUUGGAUGGAGCAUAUGUAGAGCAUGAAGCCAUAUUUUUUCUGGGGAAAACACUGCUUAUUCUAAAAUUCAAAUGGAAUUUCAAGAGACCCAGACAG